rnacentral:rRNA from 1 species
GAUGAACGCUGGCGGCGUGCCUAAUACAUGCAAGUCGAGCGAACGGACGAGAAGCUUGCUUCUCUGAUGUUAGCGGCGGACGGGUGAGUAACACGUGGAUAACCUACCUAUAAGACUGGGAUAACCUCGGGAAACCGGAGCUAAUACCGGAUAAUAUUUUGAACCGCAUGGUUCAAAAGUGAAAGACGGUCUUGCUGUCACUUAUAGAUGGAUCCGCGCUGCAUUAGCUAGUUGGUAAGGUAACGGCUUACCAAGGCAACGAUGCAUAGCCGACCUGAGAGGGUGAUCGGCCACACUGGAACUGAGACACGGUCCAGACUCCUACGGGAGGCAGCAGUAGGGAAUCUUCCGCAAUGGGCGAAAGCCUGACGGAGCAACGCCGCGUGAGUGAUGAAGGUCUUCGGAUCGUAAAACUCUGUUAUUAGGGAAGAACAUAUGUGUAAGUAACUGUGCACAUCUUGACGGUACCUAAUCAGAAAGCCACGGCUAACUACGGG